rnacentral:lncRNA from 1 species
GCAAAUGUUAUUUACUUUCUUCACCUUCGUGUCGACGACUGUUGUUUGCUGAUGGCCAAAUCACGACAGCGGACAUCAAUUAUUCAAAAUAUGUUCUUAUAGCUUCACGUUUACGAUACGAAUGUAAGAUUAUUUAUUUUUUGUAUAUGUAGGUUCUAAUUGAAAGUAACAGCGACGAUGAAAAAAGUGCACACAACAUUGAAAUAUCCAGUUCACUACUAGCUCAAAUCCUGCGACAUAUCACUUGCUAGUAGCCCAGUCUAGUUUAACUUUUCCCAAUCAAGAAUCAUCUCCUGAAUCAGGCAUACUGGCAACACUGGUUCAUUUGAUAAUGUAAGUUUUUAAACUGGUAUUUUAGAUUUAUAUAGCCUCUGUCAAAUCAGGAUGAAAAUCAUGCAUGAAUUGCUUAUCAAUACACAAAGGACAUUUCAAGUUCCAGAUGAACAAAAUAUUAUUAAAGCUUUGAUGAUUGUUCUGCAACUAUGUUUCAACUUUAAAAUACUCUCAUCCUCGUUUGACCCAUAAUUAUUUGUUGAUUUUACUCGAUACUAAAUAGUGAAACAUCGAAUCCAGAGAAAAUCUUUAUAUAUACAGAACCCACUGUAAUUCCGAGCUGUAAUCACAUAAUUAUAUAAAAGUCGUUUCAGUAGCAGCAAAAGCCAAACUAAACACCAAUCUAGGAUUAAUAGGUUUAGCUUUUAGGCUGAGAAUAAUACACGAUUGACAAUUUUGUGGCUGAUUGAUUAAUUAAUUAAUAGUAUACUGUAUAUUGAUGUUGUUGUAUACAGGACAUCUGACUUACAUGUCAAAUUAAUAGUUGAAUCUAUGAUUAUAUUGAGCAUGGCAGAUUUGACAUUUGAAACAUUGUUGAUGUUGCACUGGCGGUUAAUGUGUUAACUAGCCUAUCUGCCCAUGUGUACAUAGUUAACCCAUUGAGUCGCAUUGUGCCCUAAUGCGGCCUAAAUUUAUUAUUUUACUCUGCCUAUCAAGGGCAGAGCGCUGGCGCUUAAUGUGUUAACUAGCCUAUCUGCCCAUGUGUGUUAACACAUUGAGUUGCAUUGUGCCCUAAUUUAUUAUUUUACUCUGUCUAACGCAUUAAGGGGAGAGCACUGGUGCUUAAUGGGGUUAACUGGCCUAUCUGCCCAUGUGUGAUGUUAACACAUUGAGUCGCAUUCUGCCCUAAUUUAUUAUUUUACGCUGUCUAACACCAGAUGAUUUUACUCGUCAAUUAAGGGGAGAGCACUGGUGCUUAAUGGGGUUAACUGGCCUAUCUGCCCAUGUGUGAUGUUAACACAUUGAGUCGCAUUCUGCCCUAAUUUAUUAUUUUACGCUGUCUAACACCAGAUGAUUUUACUCGUCAAGGUAAGGGCGCUGGUGCUUAAUGGGUUAAUUAAGAUAUUAAUUAAAAUACCAAAUAUAAUGUCUUAUGGCUUAUUUCAAAUAGGGAGAUGCUAUGUAUGUCCAUUGAAAUUUAGUGGAUUUGUUGUAGUACAUCAAAUAAAUGCUAGCCAUAAACAUAUUCAAGUCAAUCGAAGAGAAUGUAGAAUUGCACUUUACAUAAAAUUCCCUAGUUAUUGUACAUUAAUGAAAAAAAAAAGCAUUUGAAAUCAAAUAUAUUGUUUUAAUUUUAUUUCUAUGGUUUGUACUAUGAUAUACAUGGGCUACACACUCUUUGGGAACCUGCAGGGCUGUUGGCAGAGCAUUUCCAUGAUCUGAAACUUCAGUCCUAAACACGAUGUGUGGGUGCGAAGAUGUUGUGUAGGAACAGAACUGUACAGAUUAGAAAUAUGAUUACUGAUAUUUUCCAAAGAAAAACUAUUAAUAUAUAGAAGAGGAAAGAAAGAGGCAAUGUGAUAUUUAAAAAUGGUAGGCUUAUUAAGGAUGAGAUACAGAGAAAAACAGUAAUGCAGAACUACAUUCUCUUAAAUUGUCAAAAUUAAACGCUACCAAUUUUGGUCUUGUUUCAAACUUGAAUAACAAAAAGUCUAAAAAUAUAAAAACUAUAAGAACAGAUCAGCUAAGUCCAGUUAUAAAAUUAAAUGAUGAAGGAAAGCUAUCAUUUUAGGAAAGUGUUGUUUUGGGGUGUGUAAACUCAUGAGGUUACAUGUUUCUGGUGAAUCUGUGCUUGCUGCAGCAAAAAUUUAUUAUUCAUUUGUGAUAUAAUUCACAAGAUGUCUAUUUUAACCUGUGGGUUGUGGAAUUUGUUUUGUCUGACCAAGAUAUAAUGAAUACCAGUUAGUGACAUGAGCAUGUCCAAUUAAUAUUUAACUAGAAAUAAAUGCAUGCAGCAACCCCUUGCCUAUAUUUUCCAAACAUUGAUUUAACAUGAACUAUUAGCAAUUGGCCAGCACUGAACACAGGCUCACGUUGUGUCAAGUGUUGUCAAGGCAACAUAAUGUCACAUAUUUUAAAUUUUUUGAGUAAUUUUGCAAGUGUUCAUACCACAGAAUCUACCAUACAUAAUUUUAAACAAGUAGAUAGGUGAAGUAAUUCAAACAAAAUGAUUUUGAACUUUAUUACUCUACUCUGUCGAACGCCUAUUCUACUCGUAAAGGGGAGAGCCCUGGUGCUUAAUGGGUUAAAUAAGACGUAGCUCUUCCGAUCUAUAUCAUGUAUUAUGUUUUUAUGUACUCUGCCUGAAUCACUUGUACCAGGCUAUGGAAAUUCAUGUUUCCAAUUUUGUAUUUAUUUUUCUUAUGAUGCAGUAUACUGUAAAUUUGAAUAAUAUUUGUGUGCUUAUAGUGAGCUUAUUUUUAGGAGCGUUUGUUGCGAGGCAGCAUAUAUUUUGAUUUUUCAAAAUAUUACUGUAUAUUGGUAUGUUAUACUUAAUAUUAGAAUGUUAGGGUUUGGAAUCCAAGUGAGAAUAUAUACAUUUUAAGACCUAACCAGGAACGACUGCGAAAAAUGCAGCACAAGGUCCUCUGGUAGGAAUCAAACCUACGGCCCUGCGAUUCCGAUGCAGCGCUCUAACCAACUGAGCUACAGAGGCCAGCCAUUAAGCUGUAACCGUAAGUUCAUGUAUAUAUAGGUAAUCGGGUGUGCGGGUUGUGAUAAGGUGGACUUAAUGACUUAGAUUCUGCACUUCACUUGGUGGAAUUAAUAUUAUAAUGAAUCCAAGUGAGAAUAUAUACAUUUUAAGACCUAACCAGGAACAACUGCGAAAAAUGCAGCACAAGGUCCUCUGAUAGGAAUCAAACCUACGGCCCUGCGAUUCCGGUGCAGCGCUCUGAGCUACAGAGGCCAGCUGUUAAGCUGUAACCGUAAGUUCAUGUAUAUAUAGGUAAUCGGGUGUGCAGGUUGUGAUAAGGUGGACUUCAUCAUGAUUCUAAUAUUAAUUCCACUUAAUGCUUUAUACUUAAUGCUUUUGGAAGAGUUAUAGGGGUCGGGUGAGAUAUACUUUUUCAGGUAUUUUGUGUCUGAUGUAUGUAAGAGCUUUAUUAUUGGGUUUCUUGGUGAGACCUUAUAUCUUAUGUGUCCUAUAACCCCCUGUAAUUGCGGAUUAUUGCAUACAUUCUAAUUGUUUUUUUUUUUGUAGGAGUCUGAAGAUGCAAAUGAUACAAUUUCAAACUUAUCACAACCCAUAUUGUGGUCGUUGGCAUCGAACUUACUAGAAUACGACUAGAAACUGUCAAUCAUACGUUAUCGAGGGAAAGGAUGAAAGUUCCAUAACAAGCAACAGUUGUUUUGAUGCAAUUAUCGCCUUAUUGGCAAGUUUUUACAUCUUCAAUAUUGAGUACUGCCACACGAAGAGCAUCUUGUCUGCUUUGCAGACUAUAGUAGUGCAUGGGCAAGACAGAAAAUGGCAUAUACAACUGCCAGUGAGGGUCACAGCCCUCUUCAAUGACUUGUCAUGACUCAUGAGUAUUAGUACUACAGUAAUUUUACACUUUUUGAGAGUUAUGUUGACAUAUGCUAACCCAAGUUAAUGUUAUUGAUGGAAUGUGUGUAUUGUCUCACAUCUCACCGAACUGUGGUAAUGUAUUAGAAAUUAUUCGUAUUGCGUUCAUGUUAACAACCGCGCCUGCUAUUGCUAUCACAAGUUGAUUGCUCUUUAAAAUUAGAAUUGUAAACUUUCGGAGCCAUAUGGCAUAUAUGUACGAAUCUUUUGAUGGUUCCCACAUUUCGGUGAGAUCCAUAAUACUGACUACUGUGCAUGUAUAUUGUAAUUUUAGUUAUAGUAUUGUGUUUAUAAUACAGAAAUUGGAACAUUUAUCUCAACUUAUAUUGCAAUAAUUCAUUCCAAUCUUGGUCUGUUGGAGAAAUUGUAAUAAUUUAAUCAAGACCAAAUAAACCCCAAUAUUUUUGCCUGAUUCAUUAUAUACAUGUAGAAUACGUCUACAUGCAAGAGUGCAACCAAAUCCACAUGACUUUAAAUGCUAUAUAAAACGGCACCACCAAAAAGCUAUAUCAGCUCGAUCGGUUCUAAAGCACCUCUUCAUUGGGGCUGAGACUGCUCUCC